UUACACUAAGGAACUUUCAGUUUUCGUUGAUUUUGGCGGCGCCAGUGGACAAAAGCGGUAGUGUUUUGCCUGAAGUAACACUACAGUUCCCAUGAGCACUAGCGCAUGGCGUCGUCAAAUGCUGCUCCCGGUUGCAUGCUGUUGGGCUGAACUCGCUCACAUGUGUUUCCAGUGGCUGUGAAGGAUGGACAGCGACGAGGAAUUCCCUGUCCCAGAAACUACCUCCACCUCUUCUGAGUGUGAGCCCCCACGCACUAGUGCUGGCAGAGGGAGGGGCAGAGGGAGAAGUAGGACACCAGAAGACUUGAACCCCGAGACCCAGCAGAGAGUACAGGAUCUGCACGAACGCAGAAACAGAGAGAUGCAAGCCAGAAUACAAGCACUGGACCACAAUCAGAGGGGAGAGCUCCUAUAAGUGUUCCUUUCAACACCUGGCUUGGUGUUCGACAUUUUGGACCUGCUGGAGGACCCUAAUCGUCAGAGAGUCCCAGGUGGAGGUGAUCUACAUCGGUGCUCCUGCGCAAACUGUAACGAGAUGAACACUGACCUGGAGAGAGUUUUCCAGACCCAAGGGGGCAGUACACCGGAUUCCUGGUCCGCAGACUAAUGUAGCGUGUCAUUGUUUGACUGCACUGUAAUAAGUUUUUAUAGUUUUUUUUGUACAGAAUUUGCCUUUAGACUGUCCACUUGUUGUGUGUGUGUUUCAAAAUAAAUACAUCUGUGCAAAACAA